rnacentral:tRNA from 1 species
GCUGACGUAGCACAGUUGGUAGUGCGACGCAUUCGUAAUGCGUAGGUCGCGGGUUCAAGUCCCGCCGUCAGCUCCA